AGUUCUCAUACACUGAUGCGUCUUUUGUUUCUUAUUUUUUUUGCGUUUUAGUUUCUUUUAAUUUACCAUUUCACGUAUCCUACUUUGUAUUUGCCUCCCUAUUGAUAAUGCCCUCGUGGUAGGCAGGAAUCGACCAACCAGGCCUGGUCGAAUCCUAUGACUGGUUUUUUUUGCUCUUUCUUCCUCUCUAAGAACUUAACUAGGCCCGCGGUCCACGCGGAUACGGGGACCGUAUGCGAUUCGCAGCAUCGUUUUGGCAUGUUUCGACAACGUCCUCACUCUUAGCGUUCCCUCUUUGAUCCUGUGAAAGUAACGAUAUCACGAAAAGAGAGACAAAGAGUUCCUUAAUAAUCCCACGUUUCCUCGGGUUCGUGUUUCACCACGCUAUCCUUGGGGCUCUCAUCGGUGGACUGCUGCGUUUGCUGCGUCGAGGGUGGCCUGGGCGAGGUCACCGGACUGUUCUGUCCAGACUUUGGACUGGGCAGAGGGCUAUCUCGGUCUUGACCGUUGUUUCCAGAAACAGAAGACACGUCACUUUGCGCGUCUUCCUCGUAUCUGUCCUGUACCGGAGUCGGUUCUACCCUAAUCGUUUUCUUCUGUUUGAUCUGACAGUGGCCGGUGCUGUAGGUGUUUCCGCCGGUUCUCUCUUUAUACUCCCCGCAGAUCCUUCCGAAUCCUCGCUACCGAGAUUGCUCAUAGCGUCUUCCACAUCCUCGUCCUCAAACUCUUGGUUUGGCUCCCUCUUCAGAGCGUUCAUAGAAAGAUCCAGACCGGAACACUGUUCCUUGAGCGCGUUCCCUACUAAGGCAGCCAGAUUAGGGUUGAAGUACGGCGUGUAAGGCAGAGGCACGUUGCCCAAGCCUAGUCUCUCUUUUUGGAUCUCCAACAGUCUUUGGUUUAACAGCAAUCUAAACUGGACUGGGUCGAAUGGCUGGCCAGGCUCUCUUGGCGAUUGAGGCUCCGGCUGACCGUGUGGCGUCUGCUGUUUCAGUCUCAUCCGAUGAUUGUGAAACCAGUUGGUUAUCGUCCGCGAGGAUAACGCUAGUUCACCAGCGAGGAACUCGAUGGUGGCCACGUUGGGAUAUGGAUCGAGCGCGAAGGCAAGCCUCAGAGCUUCUUUCUGUUCUUCGGAGAAGAGGACUCUUUGCUUCUUAGCGGAGGCUGGUCCAGGUCCGGGCGACGCUGCGUGAUAGAACUCGGCCGUGUCGUUACUCGACGUGUCGGAACUAUUAUCGUGACCUGGCCCGCUGCUACGUCUUCUUUUGUUCGCUUCUCUACGCUCGUUUUUCAGCGCCUGUAAUCGGUCCACGUUGUGCGCAUCCGAUAACCACAAUUGCAUUCUUAUGAAAGGUUCUCUGCCCUUUAUGCUCAGCAUAUGCCAUGGCUUUGGUUUGCUGAGUAAUUCGCUGACCGAGCCCUGCGACAGUCCGAGCACAGCCUCGCCGAAGAUCUUCUGGCCGAUAUUAUUGGCCAGCAACGCUUCUUUGAUCUUCGUCGUAAUCGUCUGCGUGUCCAGAUCUUGCGUCAACGCGGCCAUUUCGUAUACACUCGGCGAGAUAUGUGGAUGAAGACCACGGAGAGGUGAUGGGGUCAUUUGGUGAUGCGGGGAAUGAAGGUUUAUCUGCUGUUGCUGCUGCUGCUGUUGCUUUUUCUGUAGUUCUUGCAUGCUGAGCUGAGAAUGGGGAUGAUGAGGUCCAGGUGGUGUCAACAUCAUUGGCGGUGGUGGCUGUGGGUGUUGAGGGUGUUGCGGACUCUGUUGAGGCGGACCAAGCUGCAUUUGAUUCUCCUGUUGGUGUUGCGCUGCUGCUUGAGCCGCAGCUUGCGCCGCUGCUUGCGCC
rnacentral:misc_RNA from 1 species